rnacentral:lncRNA from 1 species
UAUUGGUUUAUUUAAGACAUUUGAUGGUUGCUUAAUGCACAAAGGGACUUAAGUUCACAUUUUUAAUUACAUUAGAAAAAGAAUAUUAAGGCAGUCUUAAGUUAAAGGUGUGGUAACCUAAACCAACAUUAAGCUAUUCCUUCACCACAAAAUACUAAAGGCUAUAUCAGUACUUUAAAUCUUUAAGCUUAUACCUAAACCAAAGAUGUCAAGACUAGAUGUUUUGUCUGAAAAUGGUGAUGUGACAUUCAAGCUAAAUGAGCCACCAUCGCAAGCAGAAUGCACUGAAGAUGAUAUCCCCACUACCUCACAAGAUGCACAAAGGAGCCAAAGAGUCCGUAAGCUAACGGAAAAAGGGCAAGAGUUGCAUGAUGAGCAGGUAAAGAAGGCCACUCAUCGUUUCAGCGCGUGCUACGAGAAGUGGAGGGCUGUCAUUAAAGAGGCAAAGAAAGCUAUAGAUGAACAAUGCUCUAAAGAUCUUCUGGAUGAACACAUCACCAAGGUAACAAGUGCUGCAACCACUGUUUGUGCUGCAUAUGAUGAUUUAAGACGCACUGAUUCUCCUGAUAAUGACACAAGACGAAGGAUGGAUACUUGUGAUGCAGUAACGAGGACCAUCAUGGAAGCAGCUGAAAGGUCCCAAACAUUAAGAGAUAAAGACAGUCAAAGGGACGAAGAAGUUUGGAAAGACGUAGAGUCGCUGUUUAAGUCUGCUGCUUCCACAAGAUCAAGUGUCAAGUCUCACCACAGUCCAAGAACUUCUUCCAGAUGUUCAAGCCGGCACUCUAGUAAGAGACAAGAGGCAGCAGCUGAAGUUGCUGCAAAUGAAGCUGCCCUGCAAGUUCUGCUGGAGCAAGAAAAUAAAAUAAGGGAAAUAGAAAAACAAGAAGCAGAAAUUGCACUGAAACAAAGAGAGCUGGAAGCAAAGCGCAGAGAAGUGGAGCGGCUGGAGACAAUUAAAAAGCUUCAAGCUGCUAAAGCAAGACAACGGGUAUAUGAGCAGAGUGAAAGUUCAGAUGACGACAUUUGUGAUCUGCUCCACCAGCACAUAUCUGGUAAGAAAAAGAGGUUAAGUCAGAAAAGAAUAAUGUACCCAUCAGACCCGCUUUCAUUCCUCAAAAUGCGAAUCCCACUCAAGAAGUUAACACAAUGGAGCUGGUUAGAGUCUUCGCAGAAUCUCUCAAUGCGAGCCGUCUCCCAGUCCCCGAACCAACUAUUUUCAGUGGUGACCCACUAAGAUACAAUGACUGGAAGAUUUCAUUUCUGACUCUCAUUGACAGGAAGGGUAUACCAGCUGAAGAGAAGAC